rnacentral:tRNA from 1 species
GCCGGAAUAGCUCAGUUGGCAGAGCAGAGGACU